CUCCUACGGGAGGCAGCAGUGGGGAAUAYYGCACAAYGGGGGAAACCCYGACGCAGCAACGCCSCGUGGAGGAUGACGCCCCUYGGGGYGUAAACUCCUUUCGAUCGGGACGAUUAUGACGGUACCGGAUGAAGAAGCMCCGGCUAACUCUGUGCCAGCAGCCGCGGUAAUACAGAGGGUGCAAGCGUUGUUCGGAAUUAUUGGGCGUAAAGGGUGCGUAGGCGGUGCGGUAAGUCUUCUGUGAAAUCUCCGGGCUUAACUCGGAGCCUGCAGGGGAAACUGCCGUGCUGGAGUAUGGGAGAGGUGAGUGGAAUUCCCGGUGUAGCGGUGAAAUGCGUAGAUWUCGGGAGGAGCACCUGUGGCGAAAGCGGCGCACUGGACCACUUCUGACGCUGAGGCGCGAAAGCUAGGGGAGCAAACAGGAUUAGAUACCCUGGUAGUCCUAGCCCUAAACGAUGGAUGCUUGGUGUGAUCGGUACCCAAUCCGAUUGUGCCGAAGCUAACGCGAUAAGCAUCCCGCCUGGGGAGUACGGUCGCAAGGCUGAAACUCAAAUGAAUUGACGGA
rnacentral:rRNA from 1 species